AGAGUGAACGCUGGCGGUAGGCCUAACACAUGCAAGUCGAACGGCAGCACAGUGGUAGCAAUACCAUGGGUGGCGAGUGGCGGACGGGUGAGGAAUACAUCGGAAUCUACCUUUUCGUGGGGGAUAACGUAGGGAAACUUACGCUAAUACCGCAUACGCCCUUCGGGGGAAAGCCGGGGAUCGCAAGACCUGGCGCGGAUAGAUGAGCCGAUGUCGGAUUAGCUAGUUGGUGAGGUAAUGGCUCACCAAGGCGACGAUCCGUAGCUGGUCUGAGAGGAUGAUCAGCCACACUGGAACUGAGACACGGUCCAGACUCCUACGGGAGGCAGCAGUGGGAAUAUUGGACAAGUGGGCGCAAGCCUGAUCCAGCCAUACCGCGUGGGUGAAGAAGGCCUUCGGUUGUAAAACGUCCCGUUUUGUUAGGGAAAGAAAAGACAAGUUACGGUUAAUACCCGGUUGUUCUAGUACCGGUAACCCAAAGUAAAUAACGACAACCCGGACUAACUUCGU
rnacentral:rRNA from 1 species